GAUGAACGCUGGCGGCGUGCCUAAUACAUGCAAGUCGAGCGAACAGAUGAGGAGCUUGCUCCUCUGACAUUAGCGGCGGACGGGUGAGUAACACGUGGAUAACCUACCUAUAAGACUGGGAUAACUUCGGGAAACCGGAGCUAAUACCGGAUAAUAUAUUGAACCGCAUGGUUCAAUAGUGAAAGACGGUUUUGCUGUCACUUAUAGAUGGAUCCGCGCCGCAUUAGCUAGUUGGUAAGGUAACGGCUUACCAAGGCAACGAUGCGUAGCCGACCUGAGAGGGUGAUCGGCCACACUGGAACUGAGACACGGUCCAGACUCCUACGGGAGGCAGCAGUAGGGAAUCUUCCGCAAUGGGCGAAAGCUUGACGGAGCAACGCCGCGUGAGUGAUGAAGGUCUUCGGAUCGUAAAACUCUGUUAUUAGGGAAGAACAAAUGUGUAAGUAACUAUGCACGUCUUGACGGUACCUAAUCAGAAAGCCACGGCUAACUACGUG
rnacentral:rRNA from 1 species